AGACUUGGUCUCAAAAAAAAAAAAAAAAAAAUUGAUUAGGACAAAGAAAAUAAUUUAAAAAAUAGAGUAAAAAUAAAUUUAAAAAACAGAGAAACAGAAAAUUAAGGAAAGCAAAUGUGGUUCUCGAAAUAAUUUUAAAAAUGAACAAAUCUGUAGCUAGACCAAAGAUGAAAAACAGAGAAAACACAUAUAAAAUCAGAAUAAAAAAGACAUUAUCACCAAUGUUAUAGGAAAAUAAAAGAAUUAGAAAGGAAUACCAUCAAAAGCAGUAUGCCAAUUAGAUACCUUAUACAAAAUGUUUGUUUUUAGGAAGACACAAACAACCAAAUCUGACACAAGAAAAAAAACCUGAAUACUUACAAAAACAGAAUUGAAGGCCGAGCACGGUGCCUCGAGCCUGUAAUCCCAGCACUUUGGGAGGCUGAGGCGGGCAGAUUACCUGAGGUCAGGAGGUCGAGACCAGCCUGACCAACAUGGGGAAACCCCUGUCUCUGCUAAAAAAUACAAAAUUAGCCGGGAGUGAUGGCGCAUGCCUGUAAUCCCAGCUACUCGGGAGGCAGAAGCAGGAGAAUAGCUUGGACCCGGGAAGCGGAGGUUGCAGUGAGCCGAGAUCGCGCCAUUGCACUCCAGCUUGGGUAACAAGAGUGAAACUCCGUCUCAAAAAAAAAAAAACAGAUUGAAUGGUUAAUCUACAAAAUUCCCAUAAAGAAACAUUCAUGAACAGAUGACUUCACUGAUGAUUCUGCAAACGUUUAAAUAAUAAACAUCAGUUAUUUACAUAACUUUUCAAAAAAUAUUACAGGAGGAAACACUUCCCCAAUUAAUUCAAUACAUGAUAUUUACAUAUGCAUGGUAUUUAUAGAACAAAGAUAAAACCUCAUGAUUGUGUCAACAGACAUAAAAAAGCCAUUUGACAAAAUUCAUUUAUAAUUUUAAAAUCCUCAACAAACUAGGAACAAAGGGAUCUAUCUACAUUUGACAAAGGGUAUCUACAAAUACUGUAUAGCUAGCUCUGUGAACCUAGGCAAGAAAAAGAAAAAAAAAACCAUACAGCUAACAUCAUUUAAUAGUCAAAAUCUAAUUGUAUUACCCCUAGUCAGAAACAAGUCAAGGAUGACUGCUCUUGCUACUUCUGUGCCGGUUUUCGCCAUGGUGAUUAGGCAAGAAAAAGAAAUAAAAAAAAUCAAUGCAAUUGGAAAGAGAGUACAACUAUCUAUAUUUAUAGGUGACAUAAACAUAAAAACCCAGAGGAAUCCACAAAAAAAUGCUAAUAGUGAAACUAUUAGAAAAGCUUUUCCAAUAAGUUCAGAAACAUUGGAGGAUACAAGAUCAACAGAAAACUAAUUGUAUUUUAAUACACUAGCAAUGAACAAUCCAAAAUUAAAGUUAGGAAAAUAAU
rnacentral:lncRNA from 1 species